AUUUAGGUAGUUUAAUUAAAAUUUUGGUUUGUGGUACCAGUGAUGUAUAAUUUAUUAUACCUUAGAUC
rnacentral:tRNA from 2 species